GUUAGGAAUAUUGGACAAUGGGCGCAAGCCUGAUCCAGCCAUGCCGCGUGAGUGAUGAAGGCCUUCGGGUUGUAAAGCUCUUUAGCCGAUGAUUAUAAUGACUGUAGUCGGAAAAUAAGCCCCGGCCAACUUCGUGCCAGCAGCCGCGGUAAUACGAAGGGGGCGAGCGUUAUUCGGAAUCACUGGGCGUAAAGCGUUCGUAGGCGACUUUGCAAGUUGGGAGUGAAAGCCCAGGGCUCAACCCUGGAAUUGCUCUUAAAACUGCAAGGCUCGAAUGCGGGGGAGGAUAGCGGAAUUGUCAGUGUAGCAGUGAAAUGCGUAGAUAUUGACAGGAACACCAGUGGCGUAAGCGGCUAUCUGGACCGAUAUUGACGCGGAGGCACGAAAGCGUGGGGAUCAAACAGGAUUAGAUACCCCAGUAGUCC
rnacentral:rRNA from 1 species